GCCUCCGUAGCUCAAUUGGUAGAGCAGCUGACUCUUAAUCAGCGGGUCGUAGGUUCAAAUCCUACCGGGGGUACCA
rnacentral:tRNA from 1 species